rnacentral:rRNA from 1 species
AAUAGAUACCCAGGUAGUCCACGCCGUAAACGAUGGAUACUAGCUGUUGGGCGCAAGUUCAGUGGCUAAGCGAAAGUGAUAAGUAUCCCACCUGGGGAGUACGAACGCAAGUUUGAAACUCAAAGGAAUUGACGGGGGCCCGCACAAGCGGUGGAGCAUGUGGCUUAAUUCGAUGAUACGCGAGGAACCUUACCAAGGCUUAAAUGCAGACUGACCGGUUUGGAAACAGACCUUUCGCAAGACGGUCUACAAGGUGCUGCAUGGUUGUCGCCAGCUCGUGCCGUGAGGUGUCAGGUUAAGUCCUAUAACGAGCGCAACCCCUGUUGUUAGUUGCCAGCGAGUCAUGUCGGGAACUCUAGCAAGACUGCCAGUGCAAACUGUGAGGAAGGUGGGGAUGACGUCAAAUCAUCACGGCCCUUACGCCUUGGGCUACACACGUGCUACAAUGGCCGGUACAGAGAGCAGCCACCCCGCGAGGGGGAGCGAAUCUAUAAAGCCGGUCACAGUUCGGAUCGGAGUCUGCAAC